rnacentral:rRNA from 1 species
GACGAACGCUGGCGGCGUGCUUAACACAUGCAAGUCGAACGGAAAGGCCCUGCUUUUGUGGGGUGCUCGAGUGGCGAACGGGUGAGUAAAACGUGAGUAACCUGCCCUUGACUUUGGGAUAACUUCAGGAAACUGGGGCUAAUACCGGAUAGGAGCUCCUGCUGCAUGGUGGGGGUGGGAAAGUUUCGGCGGUUGGGGAUGGACGCGCGGCCUAUCAGCUUGUUGGUGGGGUAGUGGCUUACCAAGGCUUUGACGGGUAGCCGGCCUGAGAGGGUGACCGGCCACAUUGGGCCUGAGGUACCGCCCAGACUCCUACGGGAGGCAGCAGUGGGGAAUAUUGCACAAUGGGCGGAAGCCUUAUGCAGCAUCUCCGCGUGCUGGAUGACGGCCUUCGGGUUGUAAACCGCUUUCGCCUGUGACGAAGCGUGAGUGACGGUAAUGGGUAAAGAAGCACCGGCUAACUACGUG